rnacentral:lncRNA from 10 species
AAUGAUAAGAACACACAGGAUCCUAGGUAUAUGCCCUUCUGGAGAUACGCUCGAGGGGGUAGCAUGUGUUAUUCAUUACAUCACAUAUAACCUUUUCAAAUUUACAAUCAAUCUUGCUUGGAAGUCUGGUGUCAUUUAAAAAGCACGGCAGUGUGCUGGGAGGAGAGACAAUCUGAGGAGGCUACAGUCUGUGAAUCCAAAUACCCUAUUUAAAGAUCCAAACAUGAAGAAGGAGGAUGUACUAAACACAUCAUUUUCCUUCCAAGUGAUUGAAAAGGGAUGGUACAUUGAAGUUUUGUUGGGUUUCAAUGCACUGAUUUCUUCCCUACCUGUUUUUCUCAGGUUUGUCAGGUACUUAAGAGUCUAUUUCAAAUUGCCUGCAGACUCUUUUUCUCAUGUUUCUUAAAACUAUUUGUGAUUAAAUCACCCACAUUGUCCUCUAGGCUCUAAUGAUUCUCUUCCCGUUUUUUUUUCUUUUUCUUUUUUUUUUUUUUUUGAGACAGAGGACAGAGUCUCCCUCUGUUGCUCGGGCGAGAGGGCAGUGGCGCUAUCUCGGCUCACCGCAAGCUCCGCCGCCCUGGUUCACACCAUUCUCCUGCCUCAGCCUCCCGAGUAGCUGGGACUACAGGCACCCGCCACCGCGCCCGGCUAAUUUUUUGUAUUUUUAGUAGAGACGAGGUUUCACCGUAUUAGCCAGGAUGGUCUCGAUCUCCUGACCUCGUGAUCCGCCCGCCUCGGCCUCCCAAAGUGCUGGGAUUACAGGCGUGAGCCACCGCGCCCGGCCUAGAAUCUGCUUUUUAACAACAUAAUUCAAGUUUGAGAAGCUCUGCU